CCCAAUGCUUUGAUACACACAGUAGAACUGUUCAUUUUUAAUUAUUACUUCGUGGAACUAAACCCUGUCAUUUUUCCUUAUGUCGAGCAGAUCCAUUCAAAAGAGCUGAGAAUGGGAUGGAGGUGGAAUUGAUCUCAGAGACAGAGCAGGAGCAGAGCAAUUCCCAAACUUGGGUGCUACAAAAGUAGCUGGAUUUGGGGAUUCAAGCAGAUGCAAAAAUCCAGGGUUGGCCAGAUCAAGGGUUCAGCUUGAGAGGUGUGGAAUUCAGAGCUGGAUCCCUGCAGCAGCUCUGGGGCAGGGAUUCUGCUCCUCUGCCCCUGAGCUGCCUUUUGACUCAUCUCAGCCUUGGCAAGAAACUCCCAUUUGAGCCUUUGGCUCUCCUUCCUUCCAAGGGGGAAUAUUUAGGUCAGUACAGACACCUGAGUUCCCCAGUCCUCGAGGAACCAACAGGAUCGUGGGGACCUCGGAUUGGAGCUGCAGGUGCUUCCAUCUGGACAUUUGGACACGUGGGACAGAAAUGGGGGAGCUGCUGGGUGAGACGGGCACUCAGAGUCCUCAAGAAAACAGGUGAGGGCUGCUGGCUGCUGCAGAAAGGGACCUCAGUGCCCUGGGUGUGGUCCCAGCCUGGCUGGCAAAUUGCUCCUGCCUGGGGCAGCCCCAUGCAGACAGGGCUGCACAACAAAGGAGCUGGGAGGGUUUGUGUUCAGCACUAAAACCCUUCCUGGCAGCAGCAGAAAGGCUGGAACCCAGCUCUGGAGAGCUCUGCUCGAGUCCUGGCCGCUGCAGC
rnacentral:lncRNA from 1 species